GGUUGGUUAGCUCAGUUGGUAGAGCGUGGUGCUAAUAGAUUUUCUGUAACGCUAAGGCCGCGGGUUCGAGCCCCGUACUGACCA